UACGUAGGGGGCAAGCGUUAUCCGGAAUUACUGGGUGUAAAGGGUGAGUAGGCGGCCAUAUAAGCCACAUGUGAAAUUCAGGGGCUUAACCCCUGAACUGCAUGAGGAACUGUAAGGCUAGAGUACAGGAGAGGUAAGCGGAAUUCCUAGUGUAGCGGUGAAAUGCGUAGAUAUUAGGAAGAACACCAGUGGCGAAGGCGGCUUACUGGACUGAAACUGACGCUGAGUCACGAAAGCGUGGGGAGCGAACAGG
rnacentral:rRNA from 1 species